GUCGACCGCCUGGGGAGUACGGCCGCAAGGUUAAAACUCAAAUGAAUUGACGGGGGCCCGCACAAGCGGUGGAGCAUGUGGUUUAAUUCGAUGCAACGCGAAGAACCUUACCUACUCUUGACAUCCACGGAAUUCGGCAGAGAUGCCUUAGUGCCUUCGGGAACCGUGAGACAGGUGCUGCAUGGCUGUCGUCAGCUCGUGUUGUGAAAUGUUGGGUUAAGUCCCGCAACGAGCGCAACCCUUAUCCUUUGUUGCCAGCGCGUGAUGGCGGGAACUCAAAGGAGACUGCCGGU
rnacentral:rRNA from 1 species